rnacentral:rRNA from 1 species
GCAAGUCGAAUGGUAACAGGAAACAGCUUGCUGUUUCGCUGACGAGUGGCGGACGGGUGAGUAAUGUCUGGGAAACUGCCUGAUGGAGGGGGAUAACUACUGGAAACGGUAGCUAAUACCGCAUAACGUCGCAAGACCAAAGAGGGGGACCUUCGGGCCUCUUGCCAUCAGAUGUGCCCAGAUGGGAUUAGCUAGUAGGUGGGGUAACGGCUCACCUAGGCGACGAUCCCUAGCUGGUCUGAGAGGAUGACCAGCCACACUGGAACUGAGACACGGUCCAGACUCCUACGGGAGGCAGCAGUGGGGAAUAUUGCACAAUGGGCGCAAGCCUGAUGCAGCCAUGCCGCGUGUAUGAAGAAGGCCUUCGGGUUGUAAAGUACUUUCAGCGGGGAGGAAGGGAGUAAAGUUAAUACCUUUGCUCAUUGACGUUACCCGCAGAAGAAGCACCGGCUAACUCCGUGCCAGCAGCCGCGGUAAUACGGAGGGUGCAAGCGUUAAUCGGAAUUACUGGGCGUAAAGCGCGCGCAGGCGGUUUGUUAAGUCAGAUGUGAAAUCCCCGGGCUCAACCUGGGAACUGCAUCUGAUACUGGCAAGCUUGAGUCUCGUAGAGGGGGGUAGAAUUCCAGGUGUAGCGGUGAAAUGCGUAGA